CGACCUCAGAUCAGGCGAGAGUACCCGCUGAAUUUAAGCAUAUCAUUAAGCGGUGGAAAAGAAACUAACAAGGAUUCCCCCAGUAACUGCGAGUGAAAAGGGAAGAGCCCAGCGCCGAAGCCGCCGUCCAUCACAGUGGGCGGAGGGCAAUGUGGCGUUAAGGAAGAGCCUUCUUGACCUGACGUUUCGUUGUUCGGACCGCGGGAGCCCGAGUCCCCCUGACCGGGGCCACUGCCCAUGGCGGGUGCAAGGCCUCUUCGGCUCCGUUCGACGGUUCGAAGG
rnacentral:ncRNA from 1 species